rnacentral:rRNA from 1 species
CCUACGGGGAGCAGCAGUGAGGAAUAUUGGUCAAUGGGCGGGAGCCUGAACCAGCCAAGUCGCGUGAAGGAAGAAGGUACUUAGUAUUGUAAACUUCUUUUGUCGGGGAACAAAGGCGGAGACGCGUCUCCGGAUGAGUGUACCCGAAGAAAAAGCAUCGGCUAACUCAGUGCCAGCAGCGGCGUUAAUACGGAGGAUGCGAGCUUUAUCCGGAUCUAUUGGGUUUAAAGGGUGCGCAGGCGGGAUAUAAAGUCAGCGGUAAAGUGUCGGGGCUCAACCCCGGCCGGCGGUUGAAACUGGUUUUCUAGAGUUGGAGAGAAGAAAGCGGAAUUCGUGGUGUAGCGGUGAAAUGCAUAGAU